rnacentral:misc_RNA from 1 species
CAAAGAAGCAAGAAGCCGAUAGAAGAAUCAGUGGAGAAACGAAGCAACAGCAGAAGCAGAAGUUUGGUUCUUUUCAUCAAUUCCAAGGCUUAGUAUGAGCACAGCUGAAAAGAGGCAAUCUAAUGGAGAAGCUGAAGAAGAUGACGAUGAUGAUGAUGGAGAUGGUCAUGGACUUGAUGCGUGGGAGAGGACUUACACUGAUGAGAGAUCAUGGGAAGCUCUUCAAGAGGAUGAAUCAGGACUGCUUCGUCCUAUAGACAAUAAGAUCAUACACCAUGCUCAGUAUCGCCGCCGCCUUCGUUCCCUUUCUACCACUGCUGCUCGCAUUCAGAAGGGCCUCAUUCGCUUUCUUUACAUUGUUGUCGAUCUCUCCAGGGCAGCAUCAGAGAUGGA